GACCGUGCGAAGGUAGCAUAAUCAUUAGUUUUUUAAUUGAAGGCUAGAAUGAAUGGUUGGACAAGAAAUAAUCUGUCUUAAUUAAAUAUAUUGAAUUUAACUUUUAAGUGAAAAGGCUUAAAUAAUUCGAAGGGACGAUAAGACCCUAUAAAACUUUAUAUUUGUAAAUUAAUAGUUAAUUUUAUUUAAAUAUAUUAUUUAAAAAUAUUUUGUUGGGGUGACAAGGAUAAAAUUAGAAGUAACUGUCCUUUUUUAUUACAAUAAUGUUUGGUUUAAUGAUCCUUAAAUGGAUUUAAGAUUAAGUUACUUUAGGGAUAACAGCGUAAUUUUCUUUAAGAGUUCUUAUCGACAAGAAAGUUUGCGACCUCGAUGUUGAAUUAAAAGUUCUUUAUAGAGUAGAGACUAUAAUAGAAGGUCUGUUCGACCUUUAAAUUUUUACAUGAUUUGAGUUCAGACCGGUGUAAGCCAGGUUGGUUUCUAUCU
rnacentral:rRNA from 1 species